rnacentral:SRP_RNA from 1 species
AUUGGUCUCUCCAGUGGCGACAGGUUGUGAACCCGGUCAGGUCCGGAAGGAAGCAGCCGCAGCAGCCGUGUUGGGUGCUGGAACUGGGCUGGUCGG